GACGAACGCUGGCGGCGUGCUUAACACAUGCAAGUCGAACGGUAAGGCCCUUCGGGGUACACGAGUGGCGAACGGGUGAGUAACACGUGGUGAUCUGCCCUACACUUCGGGAUAAGCCUGGGAAACUGGGUCUAAUACCGGAUAGGACUCCGGACUGCAUGGUCUGGGGUGGAAAGCUUUUGCGGUGUGGGAUGGGCCCGCGGCCUAUCAGCUUGUUGGUGGGGUGAUGGCCUACCAAGGCGACGACGGGUAGCCGGCCUGGGAGGGUGACCGGCAACACUGGGACUGAGAUACGGCCCAGACUCCUACGGGAGGCAGCAGUGGGGAAUAUUGCACAAUGGGCGCAAGCCUGAUGCAGCGACGCCGCGUGAGGGAUGACGGCCUUCGGGUUGUAAACCUCUUUCAGCACAGACGAAGCGCAAGUGACGGUAUGUGCAGAAGAAGGACCGGCCAACUACGUGCCAGCCGCCGCCGUAA
rnacentral:rRNA from 1 species